AUUCUUCGGUUUGCCUCCUCCCAGUGGCGUGGAUUUGCUCCCGACCCGCUUUUGGGGCGUGCCUGCUUCCUCCUCUCUGUUAGGUGAGUGAGUAGGCGUCAUUCUUCACAGUAGUCCUCUGCCUCCACCGCCCCGGGAUCUCCUUGCGCUCGGUCCUCUACGUGGAGUCACCUAUGCAGAGGAAUUCCACGGGGCGGGGGCGAGGACAGGGUGCGGGGGUCUUUAUGGCAGACAAUCCCCGGCUGAGCGCUUGGCCAGAGUUUCUGUGAUGCUAGAAUCUGGACUGCCUGCGACCUCUCCGGGACUCGGACACCAGCCCUCGCCUCCUGGUGAUCUUUUAGGUCCUGCAGAGAAGUGAAGAGAUCUCGCUCUGUCACCCAGGCUGGAGUGAAAUGGCACAAUCUUGGCUCACUGUAACCUCCGCCCCCAGGUUCGACUGAUUCUCGUGCCUCAGCCUCCUCAGUAGCUGGGAUUACAGAUGAGCCCCAGAGAGGCGAAGCCACUUGAGCUCGUGAGUGACAGUCAGAUGUCAAGCCCUGCUCUUUCUAAAGCGUGCUGCCUUCAGAAAAGAAGAGCCAGAAGGAUGGAAAUUACUUCAGAAAGAUGAAUACCAGCUUUGAAGGAAUAAAAGCUGACGAGGAAUUGAAGGAGUUGAGGCACGAGCUUGAACAGGGUUGCAUGUUUGGCCCUUGAUUGUAAAUGCCCAUUGCUGCACCUGUUCCUGUUACUUGGGGAGUUGCAGCAGAAGGAACAGCGGCCUGGGACUCCAGAGAACUGGGUUCCCUCUCAUCCCUCCAGGGCCACCACUUCUUGUGGGCCCUUGGGCAAGUCACUGUACUUUCUGAGUCUCAGUUUCCCCAUUUGCAGAAUGGAAAUAACUACCCCGGUCUACCAACUUAGAAGAAUUGCUUUGAGGAUCUGAUAAGGUGGUGUGGAUGAUGCUGCCUUGGGGGCUUUACAGUCUGGAGCUCAAGGGACCCCUUAAGUUGGGCUUACUUAGUAACUCCAGGGGUGGGCAGAACAGGACUCCAAUGAGGGUUUUUUUCUUUUUCCCUUUUUUUUCUUUUCCUAUCUCUUAACUUUUAUCUUUAUUAUUUUACAAUGCCCUUGUAAGAUGAAACAAGUGAUGCUGAAAUAUCUUUUUCUUUUUUAACCUUUAUUUUAGAAUUGGGGUACAUGUGCAGGUUUGUUACAUAGGUACAGUGUGGGCUGCUGAGGUUUGGGAGUACGAAUGAAUUAGUCACCCCAGUGGUGAGCAUAGUGCCCGAUAAGUGGUUUUUUCAACCCUUACUCCCAUCCCUCUCCAUUCUUGUGUUCCCCAGUGUCUGCUGUUCCCAUUUUUAUGACCAUGUGUACUCAAUGUUUAGCUCCCACUUAGAAGUAAGAACAUGCCCAGCACUUUGGGAGGCCGAGGUGGGUGGAUCAUGAGGUCAAGAGAUCGAGACCAUCUUGGCUAACAAAGUGAAACCCUGUCUCUACUAAAAACAUAAAAAAUUGGCCGGGUGUGGUGGUGGGCACCUGUAGUCCUAGCUACUCGGGAGGCUGAGACAGGAGAAUCGCCUGAACCGGGGAGGUGGAGGUUGCAGUGAGCUGAGAUUGUACCACUGCACUCCAGCCUGGGUGACAG
rnacentral:lncRNA from 1 species